GCUUAUUCUCAGGGCGGGGUGAAAUUCCCCACCGGCGGUAUCCCGGUCUUUCCGGGGAGCCCGCGAGCGCCCCUUCCAGCAUGAAGGGGGUCAGCAGAUCUGGUGCGAUGCCAGAGCCGACGGUUACAGUCCGGAUGAAAGAGGAUACGG
rnacentral:ncRNA from 2 species